CACGCUGUAAACGGUGGGUACUAGGUGUGGGAUCCUUUCCGUGGGUUCUGUGCCGUAGCUAACGCAUUAAGUACCCCGCCUGGGGAGUACGGCCGCAAGGCUAAAACUCAAAGGAAUUGACGGGGGCCCGCACAAGCGGCGGAGCAUGCGGAUUAAUUCGAUGCAACGCGAAGAACCUUACCAGGGCUUGACAUCCUCGGACGACACUAGAGAUAGUGUUUUCUCUUCGGAGACUGAGAGACAGGUGG
rnacentral:rRNA from 1 species